GGUUUCUUGAAAAUACUUAAGAAAUUUAACCUGCCCACUGAAGCAAUUUUGAAGGGCCGCAGUAUUUUGACUGUGCAAAGGUAGCAUAAUCAUUAGUCUUUUAAUUGAGGGCUAGUAUGAAUGGUUGGACGAGGUAAAUUCUGUUUUAUGUUAAUUAAAUUGAAUUUAGGUUUUAAGUAAAAAAACUUAAAUAUUAUUAAGGGACGAGAAGACCCUAUAGAGUUUAAUAUUUAUAAUAGUUAAUUGAGUUAAAAAUUAAUUUUUGGUUUCUAUAAAGAAUAUUUAAUUGGGGUGAUUAGAAAAUAAAGUUAACUUUUCUUUAAUAUAAAUAUUUUAAUUAAUUAAAUGAUCCGUUUAUAAUGAUUAAAAGAUUAAAUUACCUUAGGGAUAACAGCAUAAUUUUUUUUGAGAGUUCAUAUCGAAAAUAGAGAUUGUGACCUCGAUGUUGGAUUAAGAUUAGUUUUGGGUGUAGAUGUUCAAAUAAAUUAGGUCUGUUCGACCUUUAAAAUCUUACA
rnacentral:rRNA from 1 species